rnacentral:rRNA from 1 species
AUUGAACGCUGGCGGCACGCCUAACACAUGCAAGUCGAGCGGCAGCGAGACUAGUAGCAAUACUAGUUGUCGGCGAGCGGCGGACGGGUGAGUAACACGUAGGAAUCUGCCCUUAAGCGGGGGAUAACCAAGGGAAACUUUGGCUAAUACCGCAUAAUCUCGAGAGAGCAAAGCUGCCCGCAAGGGUGGCACUUGAGGAGGAGCCUGCGUCCGAUUAGCUAGUCGGUGGGGUAAUGGCCUACCAAGGCGAUGAUCGGUAACUGGUCUGAGAGGUCGCCCAGUCACCCGGGGACUGAGAGACGGCCCAGACUCCUACGGGAGGCAGAAGGGGGGAAUAUUGGACAAGGGGGGCAACCCUGAUCCAGCGAUGCCGCGUGAGUGAAGAAGGCCUUAGGGUCGUAAAGCUCUUUAGGUUGGGAAGAAGGGUAUUGGCUGAAUAAUCCAGUACUUUGACGGUACCGACAGAAUAAGCACCGGCAAACUCUGUGCCAGCAGCCGCCGUAACAC